rnacentral:lncRNA from 1 species
AUAUUUUACAUACUAAUCACGUCUGACUUCAUCAAAUGUCGUUCAAAUUAUAUUUUAUCAUACAUUAAAUUCAUGUAGCAUUGAUCGAGGUCGUACCUGAAUCAAAGUAAUUUGCAAUUAAGUGCAAUAUAAUAGUAGGAAGUGACUCUUAGGUCGUCUCUUAAAGACUAACAUUUGGUUUAGUCAUUAGAUCAAACACUUGGUGGGGGAGGGGGAUUUUGUGAAUAGAAUGUUGAACCCAAAUAAUAAAACACGAAUUUAAACACAGAUUAAAACAGGUUGGCAUCUACAUCAAUUACAAUGCUUCCCAUCUUAGAUUAACAAUAAUUAAACACUACUCUCACCCCUAAUCAAACACGAAUUAACU